rnacentral:rRNA from 1 species
CUACGGGGUGCUGCAGUGGGGAAUAUUGCACAAUGGGCGCAAGCCUGAUGCAGCAACGCCGCGUGAACGAAGAAGGUUUUCGGAUCGUAAAGUUCUUUUCUUGGGGAAGAAACCAUGACGGUACCCAAGGAAUAAGCACCGGCUAACUACGUGCCAGCAGCCGCGGUAAUACGUAGGGUGCAAGCGUUAUCCGGAAUCACUGGGCGUAAAGGGUGCGUAGGCGGUUUUACAAGUCAGAAGUGAAAGGCAAUGGCUCAACCAUUGUAAGCUUUUGAAACUGUAAGACUUGAAUGCAGGAGAGGUAAGUGGAAUUCCUAGUGUAGCGGUGAAAUGCGUAGAUAUUAGGAGGAACACCAGUGGCGAAGGCGACUUACUGGACUGUUAUUGACGCUGAGGCACGAAAGCGUGGGGAGCGAACAGGAUUAGAUACCCUUGUAGUC